GUAAAUGAAAAUGUGUUUCAGUAUCAAGGCAGACACUUUAAGAUUUCUUGGAUUAACCAGCACCAAGAUCCUGCAACCCAAGCUUCCUGAGACAAAUUGCCAAAGGAAACUGAAGACCUUGGCUAGCAAUUGUGGGUGUCCCUCAAACUAUGCUCUUUGGAAUCUUUGUGGGAGAUGUUAAAAACUUGCUGAAACUAUGCCACACACUAAAGCCUCCUCUUUGAAGGUCACAAUACACAGAAGCAACGUUUCUUUUACUGCCGAGUUUAAUU